AUUGAACGCUGGCGGCAUGCCUUACACAUGCAAGUCGAACGGCAGCACGGGUGCUUGCACCUGGUGGCGAGUGGCGAACGGGUGAGUAAUACAUCGGAACAUGUCCUGUAGUGGGGGAUAGCCCGGCGAAAGCCGGAUUAAUACCGCAUACGAUCUACGGAUGAAAGCGGGGGACCUUCGGGCCUCGCGCUAUAGGGUUGGCCGAUGGCUGAUUAGCUAGUUGGUGGGGUAAAGGCCUACCAAGGCGACGAUCAGUAGCUGGUCUGAGAGGACGACCAGCCACACUGGGACUGAGACACGGCCCAGACUCCUACGGGAGGCAGCAGUGGGGAAUUUUGGACAAGGGGCGAAAGCCUGAUCCAGCAAUGCCGCGUGUGUGAAGAAGGCCUUCGGGUUGUAAAGCACUUUUGUCCGGAAAGAAAUCCUUGGCCCUAAUACGGUCGGGGGGAUGACGGUACCGGAAGAAUAAGCACCGGCUAACUACGUG
rnacentral:rRNA from 1 species